CCUACGGGAGGCAGCAGUGAGGAAUAUUGGUCAAUGGACGAGAGUCUGAACCAGCCAAGUAGCGUGAAGGAUGACUGCCCUAUGGGUUGUAAACUUCUUUUAUAUGGGAAUAAAAUGUUCCACGUGUGGGAUUUUGUAUGUACCAUAUGAAUAAGGAUCGGCUAAAUCCGUGCCAGCAGCCGCGGUAAUACGGAGGAUCCGAGCGUUAUCCGGAUUUAUUGGGUUUAAAGGGAGCGUAGGUGGAUUGUUAAGUCAGUUGUGAAAGUUUGCGGCUCAACCGUAAAAUUGCAGUUGAAACUGGCAGUCUUGAGUACAGUAGAGGUGGGCGGAAUUCGUGGUGUAGCGGUGAAAUGCUUAGAUAUCACGAAGAACUCCGAUUGCGAAGGCAGUUCACUGGACUGCAACUGACACUGAGGCUCGAAAGUGUGGGUAUCAAACAGGAUUAGAUACCCCUGUAGUC
rnacentral:rRNA from 1 species